UAGCAAGCGGCAGUUAUGGAGCAUGCGCAGCAGCAGGGGCGGCCGCAGGUCGCCGUUCAAUAAUACGUAAUUCAAGGGAUUUGUACAGCCCUGUAGGAGACACCUCCAGAGAAAGUAACAGCUCUCAAUUGAUUAGCUGAGGAGACCGAUUUUGUAAAUCACUACUUUUCUAACAACACUGGCACAGAUGGCCAAGCAUUCUCCCUUUUCUCAGAGCUGGUUUUCCAUCCCGGAAAGAGGACUUACAUAUACAAAGUUACUCUAAUCAGUUGU
rnacentral:lncRNA from 1 species